UGGAAAAUCGAAUUUUCGCAGACAAACCUUGAUCGAUCAUCGUUCCCAAAUCUCCCAAUUCUGACUCUGUAUCUCCUAAUCAUCUCCGCCUAGGGCUUUUUUCAUUUCACAUCAGAUUGGUCACUUAGACUCGAAGUUUUGAGGAGCCUCAUCACUUGGAGAGAUUGAUGCUCAAUACACUACAGUUCAACAUGUCAAUUUCAGCCCCAUGUGUCUUCUUGAUCAGAUACCUUAAGGCUGCUCAAUUUGAUAGGAAAAUUAGUUUUUGAUGACAUUUGGAAGCGUGCUUGCAAAUCAAGAUUAAGUGUUGAAUUUUUUUUUUUCCUAAACUGAUAUUUAGUUCUAGUUGUAAAUCAAGAUCUAGAGUUGAUUUUUUGUGCGGACU